CACACUGUCCUGCGGAUACAAUUAGAAUCGAUUUAACACGAAAAUUAUCAGAUGCAAAGCAGUACGAACAACUUUUACGUAACAGUCUAACAAAACCAAUGGCCACAAAAUCACGAAGAUCAGCACCUUUGGGAUUUAUCGGUACAAUUAGUAACGCCCUUUUUGGAACACUUACAGAGGACGACGCAAAAUAUUAUAACCAGGAAAUAGACAAAAUUUACAAAGACCAAAAACACUUAUCAGAACUGUUGGGAAAACAGACGCACAUUGUUAGAUCAGAAUUCCAAGACAUUCAUCGAGACCUAAUAAAACUAAGGAAUUCUUCCUUAAUAAUGGAUAACAGAAUAAAACAGUUAACAGCAGGUCUCCUUAAACUCGAUAAAGUCGAGACAGAGAUGGAGUUACAAAGAGCCACAACGUCUUGGACGUAUCAAAUAUCCAGGCACGUGGACGAAUACCUUUAGGCCUUACUAAUACUGACAGACGCAAUAAUGUUUGCUAAAUUAGGAAUAUUACACCCAGCUAUAUUGUCACCCGAUCAACUCGAACUAACAUGUACCCGUAUUAACCAAUCAACACCAUAUGAAUUUCCCCUCUCCCUAACAGAACUACGAUCAGAAAGAUUUUAUAGAAUAAUCACAAUCAGCACAAUAUAUUCAAAUGGAAGAAUGCUAAUAUCAAUCGAAAUUCCCCUCCUAGAUAAAGCACCCUUCAAUCUAUAUCGGCUACAUCCAUUACCAUCCUUUUUACCAAUUUCGCAUAACAUUUCCAGUGCCAUUCUCAUUGUACCACAAACCCCAUACCUCGCAAUCGAUGACUCUCAUAAGGAAUAUCUCUUGCCAACGGAAAGCUUCAUACAAGGAUGUAAGAUUCAUCCCACCAAAUACAUCUGUCAGCUUACAUUGCUAUUAUACAGCCUAGAAGAAGCACCAAUUUGUGAAACCGACCUUCUUAUUCAAAAACGUACCAUAGAAUGGAAAAACUGUAACAUAAGAUCAUUAAAAUCAACUGGCAUAAUUAUCAACCAACUCAAAACUACAAACACAUGGCUAUACUCUGUCAAAGAGAAAACACCGGUGCAAAUUAAAUGCAAUUACCGCGCCGCAGGCUAUGAACUGAUACAAGGUCCAGGAAUUUUGAAACUAAAAAAGAAUUGCCAGGCACAAAUAAAUAAUUCAAGAAUGAUUGCAUCAGAAGAAACAACGUCUAAAGUAAACUCGACAUUUAAACAACUACCAAGCCUAAAUAUAACGCACCUGAUACCACAGAUUACACCUCAUCACAUACAAAUAAUAUCCGAUUAUCAACAACAAGAAAUACCGCUAGGACCAUUAAAUGAUAAAAUAAACGAGAAAUCCAUUGCCUUACUAGAAAUCGAACAACAAGCAAACAAUUUAGCGACACAUCACCGUAUGCAAAGAUUAACAUCCUAUUCAACCUAUGGAAUAUCCUCGAUAGGGAUACUAAUUAUCAUAAUUGGCAUAAUAUGGGUUGUGAUAAAAUUUUAUAAGAAUCAUUGUUCAAAACCCAACAUAACAGCAAAGAAACCAACUGAACAAAUAGAGAUGGGAACACUAAAACAUAGGAAAACAGAAAAUUUAGCAUCACCCUAUAUACAACCGACGAUCUCGCCACCGUUUUGUAUACCACCAAUUCCAAGAAGUCCGCCUGCACUCGCAGCAGAUCUCGCGGAAAAAAUAAGGAAUGUCCACCUCUACUAGACAGCACAGGUAAAGACGUAAUGUCAAAAUCCAAUCAGAACUCACCGUUACCACCUCCAUCCAUACCUAACAUACCCUAUAUAAACCAUCGCACGUUUAUACCACGCCAUUAUCAAAGUUUUUUUUGUGUGAACAACAAGAACCGAAGUAAAAGAUUAGAAAAAUGGUAUGUAACUGGUACCAGGAAAUGUCACUUUGCCCGUGUUCGAUGACACGCGAAUGCCGCGACUUACCACUCCAGCCGCCUAUCCUGGACAACCUCAGGCGGAGGGAGUGCAUCCAGGGACAAGCUUGGGUGGGGCCCAAUGGCACCAUCGUCUGUGAUGGGUGCCAUUGGACCUUCUCGGAAGUGGAGGCACGAGAAUACGCACCAGCACACGUACAUCGGCUGGUGCGAGAAGGCCGUCUGGUCCAUGCAGCGGCCCGCUGUCUGGAGUGCCGGAGACGGGCACUCAACAGGGGCAACCCGGAUCAGUGCCUGCAAUGCAUCGCAGCGAUGGCUGCGACACCAUGGGUCGAGCUGGCGGUGCGGCCCGUCAUACAAGUACCGUCGCACAGAACCCAGCCCCUUCCCCCAGGCCCCGAAUAAUAUCGUUAUUAUUUUAUAUAACUAUAUUUUCACUAUAUUUAAUAUUUUACUCAAUUUUUUAUUUUUUUUAUUUUAUCCAUGUACUACCUUUUACUUUAUUAUUUUAUAUUACUAUGUUACAUAUAUUAUCUUAAAAAAAAUAUUUCGCCAUUAUAUAUUAUUUUUAUUAUUAUAUUUAUAUUAUAUUAUAUUAUAUUAAAACAAUAAUCGAUAAUAAAAAGUUUUAUG